AUUUCAAUCCUCGGGACACUAAUAUCGUGCACAUCGUUGGCGGACGUUUCAUUUAGUGUCAUUAUUCGUGAAAAACGACCUCAACGACCUGCAGAUGAGACGGCACUGGGCAGUGAAGAAGAGGACCAGGAGAUUGGGAAAUCCGGAAUGGACACUCGUUGCUGAAGAUCUCUCAUCUCCCAGGCUGGAUAAAUGGAACCAGGAAACCUUCAGGAUGCGUUUGUAGCUGAAAAAGGGCGUUUGUGAAAACCUCUUUGGCAUCGCCUCGUCUGCCCUGCGACAGCAGCCAUCGGAUGGACUCCGGAAUCAACCUAAGCUCACAAAAAGAUGCAACAAGCUGAUUGUCGGCCGAAAUGAAUUGAGGUGCGUCAGCUGCGCCGGCCUCACGUUUUCAUAAUACAUGACGCCGUACCACACACAUAGCCGAAAAG